GUGCUCGCUUCUGCAGCACAUACACUAAAAUUGAAACCAUACAGAGAAAGUUAGCCUGGCCCCUGUGCAGGGAUGAUGUGCAAAUUCAUGAAGUGCUCCAUAUUUUU
ensembl:snRNA U6 U6 spliceosomal RNA